rnacentral:rRNA from 1 species
AGAGUUUGAUCCUGGCUCAGGAUGAACGCCGGCGGUGUGCCUAAUACAUGCAAGUCGUACGCACUGGCCCAACUGAUUGAUGGUGCUUGCACCUGAUUGACGAUGGAUCACCAGUGAGUGGCGGACGGGUGAGUAACACGUAGGUAACCUGCCCCGGAGCGGGGGAUAACAUUUGGAAACAGAUGCUAAUACCGCAUAACAACAAAAGCCACAUGGCUUUUGUUUGAAAGAUGGCCUUGGCUAUCACUCUGGGAUGGACCUGCGGUGCAUUAGCUAGUUGGUAAGGUAACGGCUUACCAAGGCGAUGAUGCAUAGCCGAGUUGAGAGACUGAUCGGCCACAAUGGAACUGAGACACGGUCCAUACUCCUACGGGAGGCAGCAGUAGGGAAUCUUCCACAAUGGGCGCAAGCCUGAUGGAGCAACACCGCGUGAGUGAAGAAGGGUUUCGGCUCGUAAAGCUCUGUUGUUGGAGAAGAACGUGCGUGAGAGUAACUGUUCACGCAGUGACGGUAUCCAACCAGAAAGUCACGGCUAACUACGUGCCAGCAGCCGCGGUAAUACGUAGGUGGCAAGCGUUAUCCGGAUUUAUUGGGCGUAAAGCGAGCGCAGGCGGUUGCUUAGGUCUGAUGUGAAAGCCUUCGGCUUAACCGAAGAAGUGCAUCGGAAACCGGGCGACUUGAGUGCAGAAGAGGACAGUGGAACUCCAUGUGUAGCGGUGGAAUGCGUAGAUAUAUGGAAGAACACCAGUGGCGAAGGCGGCUGUCUGGUCUGCAACUGACGCUGAGGCUCGAAAGCAUGGGUAGCGAACAGGAUUAGAUACCCUGGUAGUCCAUACCGUAAACGAUGAGUGCUAGGUGUUGGAGGGUUUCCGCCCUUCAGUGCCGGAGCUAACGCAUUAAGCACUCCGCCUGGGGAGUACGACCGCAAGGUUGAAACUCAAAGGAAUUGACGGGGGCCCGCACAAGCGGUGGAGCAUGUGGUUUAAUUCGAAGCUACGCGGAGAACCUUACCAGGUCUUGACAUCUUGCGCUAACCUUAGAGAUAAGGCGUUCCCUUCGGGGACGCAAUGACAGGUGGUGCAUGGUCGUAGUCAGCUCGUGUCGUGAGAUGUUGGGUUAAGUCCCGCAACGAGCGCAACCCUUGUUACUAGUUGCCAGCAUUAAGUUGGGCACUCUAGUGAGACUGCCGGUGACAAACCGGAGGAAGGUGGGGACGACGUCAGAUCAUCAUGCCCCUUAUGACCUGGGCUACACACGUGCUACAAUGGACGGUACAACGAGUCGCAAGCUCGCGAGAGUAAGCUAAUCUCUUAAAGCCGUUCUCAGUUCGGACUGUAGGCUGCAACUCGCCUACACGAAGUCGGAAUCGCUAGUAACCGCGGAUCAGCAUGCCGCGGUGAAUACGUUCCCGGGCCUUGCACACACCGCCCGUCA